rnacentral:sRNA from 1 species
AUAGGAAGCGCAUGCUUGCAUGCAGAUUCGUAUCUGUGGCGAGAUGCAACGGAAAUGAGCAAGUAGCACGGUAGUGCGGAUUGCGAAUUAACGUUGUAGGAUUGCGGGAGCACAUCGUGCGGAGCAAUCCGUAA